UACGUAGGGUGCAAGCGUUAAUCGGAAUUACUGGGCGUAAAGCGUGCGCAGGCGGCUAUGCAAGACAGAUGUGAAAUCCCCGGGCUCAACCUGGGAACUGCGUUUGUGACUGCAUGGCUAGAGUACGGUAGAGGGGGAUGGAAUUCCGCGUGUAGCAGUGAAAUGCGUAGAUAUACGGAGGAACACCGAUGGCGAAGGCAAUCCCCUGGACCUGUACUGACGCUCAUGCACGAAAGCGUGGGGAGCAAACAGG
rnacentral:rRNA from 1 species